UCUUAGGGUCAAUGGCAGAGAAGGGGGCUCCAAGAUCCUUUCUGGAUGUCAUAUCAUGGACUUUUGGGAUCGUUUAUGUAAGACUCUUGGAGUCAGGUUAGUAUUCUUGAUUGCAGUUUGAGCUUCUUACAUGUCUGAUAAAAUUUUUCAAUUUCAUUCUUGCUUUUAUGCGAGACUAUCUUGUUCUAUAAUCUAUUUGUUUUUGUGCAUAAAAUAUUUUGUUUAGGCCUUCUAAUAUAUCUUCAAUUAAUUGGUGUGGUUCUUUGAGUUUAAUUAAUAGACAUUUCACGGUCUAGAUGGAGAGUUUGCAUUUGUGAAGAUAAGGAUAGUAGAUUUACCCUUAAGAAUGUAAAUGAGCAUAGAAUUGCUGAAGUUUCAUCUAUGGUUGGUAUGCAAUAUGUAUUUCAGGGUGCUGUCAUUAUGGAUUAUUGAACAUGCAGCAUUGUCAGAUCAUGUGAUAAUUUUGAUAAAAGUUGGUUGAUGCUACUUUUUGGAUAUUCUAUUUGAUGCUUCUCUUGACAUCGAAGGCUUUGAAUUACUAUACAUAUAAAUAUAAUGAAGUUGGAUGUGCAAUUUCACUGUUCUUGUAUUGCAGAUCAAAUUAGAUUUAAUAUCUUAAUAUCUUUUAUUUAUCCUUUUGGAUAUUGAUAAUCUGUACAUUAGUAUGAAUCACAUUAGGAUCAUAUGUUCUCAUCCAAUUGUUACGACUAGUUAAACCAGCUCUAUUUUCUUUUCCACACAUGAACAGAAAGGUCAGUGUUAUGGAUGUGUCGAAGAAGUAUGGAUUGGAUUACAGGCUUCUUCAUGCUAUAACCAAAGGCCGUCCGUGGUAUGGUGACUGGGGUUAUGAAUUCGGUGCUGGUAGUUUUGCUUUGACCCUUGAUGCUUAUAAGUCGGCUGUUGAAACUCUCUCCAGCAUACCCUUGUCCAUAUUUCUUUCUCAAGGGCGGAAGCCACGCACUCGCUUGCAGGAUAUAAUCUCAUUUUACCAAUCUUUGUCGGACCAUGAGCUUGUAAAUACAAGAGAUCUCUUCUGUUAUUUGAUAAGUUUGAUCCAAAAUGCUCACAAGUCUCCAUCAAGGGUUGAGGAUUCUACCAGCAAGAAGCGUCGUUCUUGCACAGGGAUUUCUCCUUCAUGGAGUAAGGCUGAUGUUGAACAUGUUGAAGAAGCCAUGUUCAGAGUUCUUCGGGCCGUCUCUGGGUCCAACUGGGUAAGUUGGCGUGCGCUGAGAGGUGCUGUUUGCAAAGUGGCUCCCCCCGAGCUCCUUGAUCAUUGCCUUAAGGAACUUGGGGGGAAAGCGGCAGCUGAUGGAAUGAUUGUUGGUACCCGAUGCAAUCCUGAUUCAGGCUCUUUUGAGUACAGGUUAGCCACUACUCUACAUGCCAUUUUAGUCAUUAUUGGUAUGCAUAGUAAGAUCAGCAGUGAAUUUGGGGAAAUAUUUCAGUUCUUCAGUUUGCUUGGUGUUUAUACUUUACUGAAUGAUGUAACUUUGAGAAAAAAUUUCUUAGAAAACAAGGUCAUGAAUGUUUGGGUCAAAUAUAGGUUCAAUUUGGGUGCUAGUAGGUGAAUAUUGUUAGGACUUGGGAUUAUGGUCUAUUGGCCUUCUUCCUUUUUUUCUUUCAAAUUUAAUGCUUUAUAAUUCCAGUGAGUUAAGUUUCUAAAUCUUAACAUUUCAAUUCGUUGCAGGCUUGAGCCUGGAAAUCCUCCUUCAAAUGUUGUCAACAUUGGCAUUGGUUCUUCUAUAAUUACCUGCCCAUCUGAAGAAAAUCUCAUGCAAGACCUGAGAUUUCUUUAUGAAUGCUUGCUACACCCUAGGACCAUGGUGAGUUACGGAACUGAAGCCACAAGGGAUCUUGCUAUUGGUUCAGCUGAAAAGCUUCUCGACUGCAAACAGUUUGUGAAAGAGUACAUGGCUGAGAAGGUAUCACAAAUUACUAACCCACCUGUUAUAUGCAUCUCAUGUGAUGUGGAAAUAAUGGAUCAGACAGAAGAAAAUGCUCCAAACUACCCGCCAGAACUAGUUGUCUUGCCCCCAAAUGCUACUGUUUCUGACCUCAAGCUUGAAGCAUCAAGGGCAUUUCAAGAAGUUUAUUUGAUGUUCAAAAAAUUCCAUGCUGAAGAGCUUCUUGGCUGUAGCGGUGUUGACGAUUCCACCCAGGUCAAACUCUUGUUAGGGUCAACUGAAUUUGUUAGACUACGGGGGAGAUGCCUUGGGAAAAAUGGUCUUUGCAAAUUUAGAAUGGAGAGAGGAAUUGAGAGAUGGACUGUUGAUUGCAAUUGUGGUGCUAAGGAUGAUGAUGGAGAGAGAAUGUUGGCUUGUGAUGUGUGUGGUGUGUGGCAGCACACAAGGUGUUCUGGUAUUCCCGACUCGGAUUCUGUGCCUGCUAAGUUUGUUUGCCAUCGAUGUAGAGCUUCUGGCCAAGUGACCAACUCUAGUGGGUAGUGGAAGGAUGAAACACACUGAUUCUGUUGGUGGCAAUGGCAGCAGCUUUGGAAAGAGCGUGUCAAAUCUGUAUGGUGUCUUUUUGGAGUUUUUAGCGCAAAGUGCAUUUGUACAUAAGAAACAAGCCUAGAAAGUGCAUCAAUGCAGUUGGUCUCUCUUUCCAAUUUUCAUGUGAUAUCCAUUUACUAUGUACGUCAUAAUAAGUUAAAAUUCACAUGUUCAACAUAAGAUGUUUAAAAUUUACAUGAUCAACACAAGAUUUUAAGCAAAGGCAAUG
rnacentral:misc_RNA from 1 species